GAAAAUCCGUUGACUUUAAAAAUCG
rnacentral:tRNA from 1 species